rnacentral:rRNA from 1 species
UACGUAGGGUCCGAGCGUUGUCCGGAAUCAUUGGGCGUAAAGCGCGUGUAGGCGGUCCGGUAAGUCCGCUGUGAAAGUCGGGGGCUCAACCCUCGGAUGCCGGUGGAUACUGUCGGGCUUGAGUACGGAAGAGGCGAGUGGAAUUCCUGGUGUAGCGGUGAAAUGCGCAGAUAUCAGGAGGAACACCAAUUGCGAAGGCAGCUCGCUGGGACGUUACUGACGCUGAGACGCGAAAGCGUGGGGAGCAAACAGG